rnacentral:rRNA from 1 species
AACGAACGCUGGCGGCAUGCCUAACACAUGCAAGUCGAACGAGACCUUCGGGCCUAGUGGCGCACGGGUGCGUAACGCGUGGGAACCUGCCCUUAGGUUCGGAAUAACUCCCCGAAAGGGGUGCUAAUACCGGAUAAUGUCUUCGGACCAAAGAUUUAUCGCCUUUGGAUGGGCCCGCGUUGGAUUAGCUAGUUGGUAGGGUAAAAGCCUACCAAGGCGACGAUCCAUAGCUGGUCUGAGAGGAUGAUCAGCCACACUGGGACUGAGACACGGCCCAGACUCCUACGGAAGGCAGCAGUGGGGAAUAUUGGACAAUGGGCGAAAGCCUGAUCCAGCAAUGCCGCGUGAGUGAUGAAGGCCUUGGGGUUGUAAAGCUCUUUUACCCGGGAUGAUAAUGACAGUACCGGGAGAAUAAGCUCCGGCUAACUCCGUG